CAUAGUCACAGUCUUCUUCAUCCGGGAGCCAGAGGCAGCGGCUCCCAGCGCAGGCUUCGUCAAGGCAUCAUCGCUGCUCGCUCUUUUCAGCUAGAGACACAUCUGCUCUGCCAUUGGAACCUGACUCCUGCUACUGCUUCACUCCUGCCAUCCACUGGACCAGAACCACCAUGACUGGACCCCUGGAAUCUACCAAACCUGGACUUGAUACUUGAGUACUUUGAAUAAACCUGUUAAUUCACA